CAAUAGCAUAUAUUAACGUUGUUGCAGUUGAAAAGCUCGUAGUUGAACUUUUGGUAGGAGCGACCUGGCCUUGGGCGCAUGCCCUUGUUUGCCGUGUGUCGUAUCUGGCCAUCCUUUUCCGUUUCGGCGGGAAUCUUUUACUGUGAGUAAACUGGAGUGCUCAAAACAAGAAGUUUGUUUGGUACAUUAAAGCAUGGAAUAAUAAGAUAGGACCUGGUUACUAUUUUGUUGGUUUGCAUAGCUAGGUAAUGAUUAACAGGGACAGUUGGGGGUAUUCGUAUUUAAUUGUCAGAGGUGAAAUUCUUGGAUUUAUGAAAGACGAACGACUGCGAAAGCAUUUACCAAGGAUGUUUUCAUUAA
rnacentral:rRNA from 1 species